UACAGAGGUCCCGAGCGUUGUUCGGAUUCAUUGGGCGUAAAGGGUGCGUAGGCGGCGGGGCAAGUCUGAUGUGAAAUCCUGGGGCUCAACCCUGGAACUGCAUUGGAUACUGCCUUGCUAGAGAACUGGAGAGGAGACUGGAAUUUACGGUGUAGCGGUGAAAUGCGUAGAUAUCGUAAGGAAGACCAGUGGCGAAGGCGGGUCUCUGGACAGUUCCUGACGCUGAGGCACGAAGGUCAGGGGAGCAAACGGG
rnacentral:rRNA from 1 species